GGUGACCGGUGUGAAUACAGCUACAGUCUAGCCAGACGAAAAUUGUUGCUUUGUGAGUGCAGGUACACAGGACGGGAGUUUUCAGUGAGAAGAACUCCCCUCCUGCAGGCUGUCUGGCCCUGCUCUGAGAUGUGGUAGAGGACAAAUUCGGCUUCAACAUUGGAGAUGAAACAUAAACCAGAAGACGUGCUCAGAAACUGCUGAAGACACUAGAAAAGAUGAGGUUUGCUAAGGACCAGAUGUAUUCUCAAGGCUCAGGUGAAGUUUAACCAGCACAUCUGAACUUACUCACUUUUCUGCCUGUUUCUUAAGAAGAGCAGCUUAAGAUCAUCCAGUGGUUGUUCCUGCCCAUUCAGUGGCCGGGCAGAGGGAGCUGCACGCCAAUCUUCAAUGGUAGGCUGAGCGCUCCAGUCUUCAGUAGGGAGCUGCUGAGUAGGCACAGAGGGUACCUGCAUGCCUUCAGACCGGUCCUCGACUUCAGGUCAAGUCCGGUGAACUCAGGAGCUGAAGUCGUCCCUUUACCUGAAAUCCCUCCUUGGUCCCAACUUUUUCAGCAGCAGCCUGCUCUUCCUUUUCAAUGUAUUCAGGAUCUCUGUAGAAGUAGAGAUCAGGCACGCGCAGGCAUGGUGACCUGCACGGGCAUAACUUCCCGGGCCAGCAUCCACCACAACAGACCCACCACGUGAGCUCCACCGUUGUUGCAAGGGGUGACAGUGUCCACAUAGUGCAGAGGAGAGUGUGUAUUACACUGAGCGAUGGUGGGCAGGUUAACAUAAGACACCUCUAUGAGAGGCUGGUGGUCAACCCUGGGAGCAGUAACCACCAGAAGUCUCGGCUCCACGAAGGUGCCCGGAUGUGGUUAGGGAAAGUUCCAGGAGUGAAGCAGCCAGCAAUAGAAGUGGCUCCACGAGCAGCAGCAAACUUCAGCACUGCUCGCUCGCUGGAUGAUAUGACACUGACAUCAGCCGGAUUUUCAAUGGCAAUGGUGGCUCUAGCUACCAGCACAAGCUUCUCCCAAGUUCUCUUCAGUGUUAUGUAGAUACCAUCACUUUUUCUUUUGUAGACGUACUGUUCCAUUUGAAAGUUGAGGUUGGUGCCACCCAGGUGGGUUCCUCUGCGAAGAAUUUGAGGACAUCUUCCUCUUUCAUUUGCAGGCCAUCAGGGGCUCCCAACAUCGUGAAAGUUUCUCUCUGAGUUAGGACGGGAAUGCAAAACGCCCUAUGGACCCCUCCCUGGGCAGCGCAUAAAGCGAUUUCAGCAGUUUGAUGAGCUAUGACUUUCAUUCCAAAGGUAAAAAUCCAGACAAAGUUUGUUGUAUGUAUCACUUACUUUUAGUUUAUUUGUAUAAUGCCACUUGCCCGUCCCCCUCCUCUCUUGUCUCCUGCCAACGGCGCGGCAUUUGCAUGUUUGGCUAGGAGAGAUACAAAGGGAGAAGCCGGGAGUGAUUCUUUGCAGGAUUUCUCUCCUAAUCCCCAAAGUCUAUCUUUUCUAUCAGUUCUGCUUUGCUCCAGGUUCACGUAUAUACAGGAAAUUGAUGACAAGGCAGUGCUAUCCCACGCCGUGCUUCAGAGUAGUGUGUUUAUCAGCAGACAGUCUGGCAGCCGGAGCUGGGGAAGCACAUACUAGCUCUGCAUGGCAGCAAACAGCCUCUGACUUGGGCAGUGGCAUCCAGGAGCCGUCCCCCUGGGGCAGUGGCAUCCAGGCAUUCUACGAGGUGCUCAGGAUGCCAGCAUGAAGUCCAAAUGUACUGCUUCUCCUCUUUUUUGCUCCCCGUGGAAGUUACAUAUCUCAUAGCCUUUGUUCUGGUCCUGAUACCACUUUUACCAGUCAUUCUAUUUCAUUGUGUUCUCCUUCCAGAAAGGGAGCCAGUCAAUUAAUGAAUCCUUUGAUUAUCCUAAAUAACUUACCAAUCUAUAUAAUUCAAAUAAACUGGAUUUGUGAAAGGAUAAA